rnacentral:lncRNA from 1 species
ACCCCCCCCCCCCCUCGGACCCCCGUUCGGACCCCCCCACGCCCCCCCCGGGGCUCCCCCAAGCCCCCCCCCGCGGCCUGGACCCCCUGAGCCUCAUCAGCCUCCAGUGCCGCCACUUGGCCCCCCCCCGGCCCCGGCCCCGCAAGCAGGAGACCCCCAAGCGGGGGGCCCCCCCCCGGGACCCCGACUUCCGCGGGGUCACCCUCAGCCUGCGCCUGGGCCCCCCCCCAGCCGGGGGGGGGGAUGAAGGUCGCGGCCUCCUCAUCGUCGCCCGCCGCAGGUAACCCUAAGGGGGGGGGGGGGCAGGGCCAUGGGUGUCCCUUGGGUGCCCCCCUCCGUCCGUCUGUCUGUCCGGGCAGGGUGCUGGGCGUCCCUUGGGUGUCUCCGUCCAUCUGUCUGUCUGUCCAGGCAGAGCAAUGGGUGUCCUUGGGUGCCUCCCUCUGUCUGUCCAUCUGUCCAGGCUGGGUGUCCCUUGGGUGCCUCCCGUUGUCCGUCUGUCUGUCCAGAUAUGGUGCUGGGUGUGCCUUGGGUGUCUCCAUCCAUCCGUCUGUCUGUCUGUCCGGGCAGGGUGUCCCUUGGGUGCCUCCCUCCGUCCGUCUGUCUGUCUGUCUGGACACGGUGCUGGGUGUCCCUUGGGUGCCUCUGUCCGUCUGUCUGUCUGGACGAGGCACUGGGUGUCCUUUGGGUGACUCCAUCCGUCUGUCUGUCCGUACAGGGUGUCCUUGGGUGCCUCCCUCCGUCCGUCUGUCUGUCUGUCUGGAUGCGGUGCUGGGUGUCCCUUGGGUGCCUCUGUCUGUCUGUCUGUCCGGGCAGGGUGAUGAGCGUCCCUUGGGUGCCUCCUGUUGUCCGUCUGUCUGUCUGUCCAGAUAUAGUGCUGGGUGUCCCUUUGGUGCGUCCGUCUGUCUGUCUGGGGGCAGGGUGCUGGGUGUCCCUCAGGUACCUCUGUCCAUCUGUCUGUCCAGGCAGGGCAAUGGGUGUCCUUGGGUGGCUCCGUCCGUCUGUCCGUCCGGACGCACCCUUGGGUGCCCUCCCGUCCGUCUGUCCGUCUGGGUGGGGGCUCCCCGGGCUGCUCCGUCCGUCCGUCUGUCCGUCCGCAGUCACCUCCGGGCACCCCCAGCCCUUGGGGCCUGUCCGUCUGUCCGUCCGUCUGUCCGUCCGUGUGCCCCCCCCCCAUUCUCACCCUCUCCGCUCCCCACAGCCGGGGGGGCAGCGCCCGCGCCCCCCACGCCAGGACCCCCGGGGCCGGCAGCAGCUCGGACGACGACGCCCCCCCCGCUCAGGGUAAGGCCUCGGGGGGUAAAAAUCCCAAUUUAGGGAUUUUUUUUUUUUUUUUUUUUGGGGGGUGGGGCACCAAAUCCCUUUUAUUUAUUUUUUUUCCCCAAGGGGGGGGCAAGAGCUGCGCCUCCUGCAAGACCCAGCGCACCCCCCUGUGGCGGGCGGCCGAGAACGGGACCCCCCUGUGCAACGCCUGCGGGAUCAGGU